UCAGAGAAGAAAGAUAUGCUGUCUUCCCCACUGGACAAGAGACAGUUUUAUUCACCUUUAUAAGCUGGGGAAACUGAGCCUUAUAGAUCCUAUGGCUUGCUCCAAAUUAAUGGCAGAGCUAAGUUGUACACACAGGUCACUAUUGAAAACAAACAACUAUGGGCUUGGCAGUCAGGGAUUUAUGUCCUUAUUUUAUCUCUGCCUCAAAAAGGCUGGAUGUAUUGGAUAAAUGACUAAACCUCUCUGUGCCUAAGUCAAAUGAUGAUAGUAAUGCCACUCUUCCCACUACAAGAAACUGCUAGGAUAAAUGGUAUUAGGUCUGAUAUGAUUCUAACUCACCAUGCUAUGAAACAAAAAUCUUCAUAGAAUGGAAUGGAUUGGCUUCAGCUAAUGAUCCAUUUCUUUGACACAACACUUGAAGCAUGUGAAUAGGAGAGCUGACCACCCACAUACCCACCCCCUCACCAGCAACAAAAACAAGAAGAAUAAAGCCAAUACUGAGGAAAUCAGAAUUGAAAA